rnacentral:rRNA from 1 species
CCUACGGGAGGCAGCAGUGAGGAAUAUUGGACAAUGGGCGCAAGCCUGAUCCAGCCAUGCCGCGUGCAGGAAGAAGCAUCUAUGGUGUGUAAACUGCUUUUGUACAGGAAGAAACACUCCCUCGUGAGGGAGCUUGACGGUACUGUAAGAAUAAGGACCGGCUAACUCCGUGCCAGCAGCCGCGGUAAUACGGAGGGUCCGAGCGUUAUCCGGAAUCAUUGGGUUUAAAGGGUCCGUAGGCGGUUUAAUAAGUCAGUGGUGAAAUCUGGUCGCUCAACGAUCAAACGGCCAUUGAUACUGUUAGACUUGAAUUAUAAGGAAGUAACUAGAAUAUGUAGUGUAGCGGUGAAAUGCUUAGAUAUUACAUGGAAUACCAAUUGCGAAGGCAGGUUACUACUUAUGGAUUGACGCUGAUGGACGAAAGCGUGGGGAGCGAACAGGAUUAGAUACCCUGGUAGUCCACGCCGUAAACGAUGGAUACUAGCUGUUCGGAGCAAUCUGAGUGNGUAGACGAAGUAGAUAAGUAUCCACCGUCGGGUAGGUACGUUCGUCGAAGAAGUAGAACGUACGAAAGUAGUAAGUUAGUACGGCGUAGAGACGUAGACCGAACGGACGACGACGAGGGGAGGUUAGGG